UUGGCCGCGAUUCAGCGUCGGGUGUAUGUCCCGCUCGUCGCGGUUCGACCGACGCGAAAACACGGCGAUUGUCACGAGCAACGUUUCCUACGGAUUGUCUUCUUCGUCGAAAAUCCCGCUCCCUCCCUUUGCGUAUUCUCGUGACAGUAAAUCACAGUGCGUCGACGUCUGAAUAAUCGAAUAUCGGCGAGUUCGCGUUCUUCUUAUUCCAAGAAUAAGUGCGGCUCGUUUCGAGUAUAAUCGUAGAGAAGUGUGCGAGAGUCGAAGGAGACAGUGUUAGCGCAGUUAGUAUCUAAGAGGGAAGUGUAAGAGAAACGAGAUAGGGGUUUCUAUUGGAUCAGAGAAUCGCAGGACGUUUAGAUCGGUGUGAUACGUGGUGCCGGAUCUACGUAUCCUUAUACUCGGGUCGUUAUCGGAUGUUUCAAAUUCGUUGGAUCGGUGAUUUAACUAGAUGGAUAAGUCACGAAUGUCACGGAUAAUUGGGAGAGUUUGACUGAUCCCGAGAUAGCCAAGGCAGCCCUCGAGGGAUCCCAAUCGUUCUGCUUGCUGGCGAAUCUUUCUUUAAAUCCUCUGCAUUCUAUCGAGUUGUCUAACCAAACCGAGGAAACCGAUGAACAUCAGCCAGCUUCCUUCGUAUCAAUCUCAACCUGUCCACGAUGAAGUCUCUGCCUAUCGUCGUCUAUCAUCGAGCUCGAUAAAAUCGAGUUUGCCGAGCUGCCACGGGACCUAAGACAACAUGGACGGAACAGGGUCAGGGCUAUGGGAAUGUUGAACUGGCGGAAGCGGAAUAUCCCGGUGGAAACUCGAGGCACAGCCGAGCUGCAAGCCCGAGGAGAGGAUGAGACGUCUGGAGGAAGAGGCCACAUCGAACAAUCGAUCGCAGCUUCGACGAUAAUUGCUAAAGCCGAUGCAGCAGUCUCCUCCACGGUUGAACGGUCGCUUCUCUACCGGUAAUGCAUCGUGAAAGGGUUGCACUGCGUGCUCGAACAACGUCGCGGCUGAUCGUCUCGAGAAUGAAAGGGACGCGCGAUUCCUGAGCCGAUCGAUCACCGAUCCUUCGUUUAUUCUUCUGUAGAACGUGCAACAGACACGCGAUAUCUCGAGGGAUUUAUGUUCUAUCAACGAGAAAUUCUUAGAUGAUGUUUCGUUCCAGUGACCUGCGAGGAAAUCGUCGAGCGACCAUCGACUGAGGCAUCGACGAGUUUGUCGAGAUUACGUUCGAAAAGGGCAAGGAAGUGGAAAGUGGCCUGCGUUUGAAGAUCGGAAUGUAGAUGUUAAUGGAGGAUCUUUUAAAGUGAUACGAAUGAUCGUGGGUCGCUGUUAAUGAUAACGGAGAACGGUUUAUCGACGAUUUUCUUUUAAAUGAUAUUGACGACAGCUUCGAAUGAUGGAAGUACGAUGGUAGUUUGACGGAUCAAUGAUUAAUCGUCGACGAAUAAAUACGGUGCGUUUGGUCGAUUUUAUGUAAAUAACUGUGCGCUUAAUGGCGUCAAAUUAUUUGCAGCGUUUAAUUGAUUUAUCGAGACAUGUUCACUGGAACGAACUGGUUACGGUACCGAUAGAACGAUAUAGAUUUGUCUAUUUUCUUCGCCAAUUUUAUUUAUCGAGAAUCGAAAUAUCAGAAGGAGUAUUAUUUUUGCUAUUUCCGCAAGAUCGCGAAAUUCCUUCAGAGUUUUUACAUAUCCUGGGAUAUCUGGUACAACGGUAGAGAUGCUCGCCACGCUUCAGUCAACAUAUCAGACGGAUUUUUCUCGCAACUGCAACGGACAGGCCCGAAUGUACGCGUCUAGCCGUGAAAACGUUCUACCAUCGUGCACACACCGCUGAAUAAACAAACGUAACUGCAUCGUGUCUCUCGAAAAUUCCAUGAAAUUCAUUUUUCUUUAAAAAAAAAAAAAAAAAAAAAAAAAA